rnacentral:lncRNA from 1 species
GCUUUUUAGGGCUGCACCCAUGGCAUAUGGAUGUUCCCAGGCUAGGGGUCGAAUUGGAGUUGUAGCCACUGUCCUACACCACAGCCAUAGCAAUGCUGGAUCUUUGACCCACUGACUGAGGACAGGGAUCAAAACCACAUCCUCAUGGAUCCUAGUAGGGUUCGUUAAACUGCUGAGACAUGAAGGGAACCCCCUAUUUUUUUUUUGGAAGCACUCAUGAAGACAGUGUUUCCUGCUCAGGCUAUUUGCUCUUCUUAAGAAUGCCUUCCUCCCUACUUACCACAUACUCAUUUUUUGAAGCUUCUCUGAAGGUGUACAUCCUUCUUGAAGGUUUUUUCUGACUCCCUUGCUGGAAAAUGUUUCUCUGACUUAUAAACACCUACAGUGCCAUAGUGCAGACUGCCAAGGUAUGUGCUUUGAGGGCCCCGUUUCUGGCUGUCAGGCUUUCUCCAUGUGAAGUCUCCAAAACACUAUGGAGUAUAUGAAGGCAUGAGGUAGGGCCCAGCCUAAUCUGGUCAUGUGAUGUGGAGGAGCCAAGCAAUACUUUCUCCAAGAACACUCUUCAUCAUUAACUGUUAUCUACAAAACAUCUUCACUUUGGGGAAAAUUCAAGCUAUGUUGUUGAAUAGAUUAAUCUUGUUGCUGGAAAUAAGUACUCCUUUGGAAGAGGGGUGAUAAAGACAAUAACUAAUCUUAUUAGCUGCUUUUAUUAAACAUAUCUUACUUCGACCGAAAUACCCUGAUUCUGAUUCCUGUCUAUUGAUUUCACCUCAAAGCAUUUCUUCAUAGUGGGAUGUGGAAGUAAUGGGUCACUCUGUAAAGAGACUCUAUCUCAAAGUCUAUCUACAUCAUCUCAAGUGAUUACAUGCCUGAAAUAAAUUUGCUUCAAAUUGUCAUGAAAUUUUGCCUACUACAUAGUCCCUGAAAGAGCCUCUGUUUAGAAAGAGGGGGAAUAAAAGCAAGUAUAGAUACGAAGCUCCUGCUAAACAUCCAUUUAUUUUAAGAAAUAAGCUAGCUACAUUUUAAAAGUAGGUGAUUAAAUUACAGUCCUUGAGCAUUUUUAUUUGAUUUAAUGUUCUGAGAUGCUUAUGUUCUGUUUAAAUGCUAGACUGUAAGCAUUUGGCUAAGGCAUAAGCUUCAAAGUGGUGACAGUAAAAGAAGUUAUAUAGUGAUUCUGGGCCAAAAAUACUGUUUCUCUUACCUAAAUCUUUCAGUUGUAAUACAGCCAGGUAAAGAUGGCUUUGUGUUUGCCAACAUUUUCAGAGGCUGAUUGGGCAAAAAAACAUAGAAUCAUUUUCCUAAGUCUCUCCUCAUCAUCAAAGCCUUCCCCUCACUACCCUACCUUAAGGCAUCCUCAUUUAAAUUUUAAAAGAAUUUUCUAAAAGAUAACAAUAGGAGUUCCUGUGGUGGCUCAGUGGUUAACGAAUCCGACUAGGAACCAUGAGGUUGCAGGUUUGAUCCCUGGCCUCACUCAGUGGGUUGAGGAUCCAGCAUUGCUGUGAGCUCUGGCAUAGGUCGCAGACGCAGCUCUGAUCCCACAUUGCUGUGGCGUAGGCCGGUGGCUACAGCCCCAAUUAGACCCCUAGCCUUGGAACCUCCAUAUGCUGCAGGUGCGGUCCAAAAAAAAAAAAAAAAAAAAAAAAAAGGAAGAGGAAAUAAAAGAUAACAAUAAGUUUCCUGAUUUAACCCCUACCUGGACAGACGGCAUAAAAAUUAUUGGUUUUCAGCAUAAUAUUCUUUUGUUAAUACUUGUGUCAUCCUUUUUUGAAUUAAUCGAUUGCCAGAAAAAGAUCUCACCUCUACCCCUUGCUUUCACUUAAGGAAUCCACCAAAUCAAUAUAGCAGGAUAAGAGGACAAUCUGUUUUAAAAGGCUCUGAGGAUAGUUGUUUUCAUAACUAACCUCAGUCCUUACUGUUUUUGUCUUUUCUUUUUUUUCCUUAAGUCUGGAGCAGAAAGGACCCACUGUUGGGGAGAGGUUAGUCUAUUACUUAAAGAGCAGCAGUCAUUAGUAGGUCCUGUGACAGAUGAUUACGCAAAGUAUCUAGACUUCACAACUAUCCUAUAGAGUAGCUAUCAUUUCCAUUUUAUUCUUGAGGAAAUGGGUUCAGAGAGGUUUAGAAACUUGCCCAAAGUCAGAGUAUAUACAAAGCCAUCUACAAGAAUUAUCCUUUAUCUCUCAAGAGAAUUCUAGAAUUCAUGUGUUAUUAGUAUAAGUACAAUGAAUGCAAUGCCAGUAAAUAAAAUGGAAUGAAAAGUCUGUUAUUAAAUUGGAGAAACAAAAGAAUCUUCAAGAAAAAUACAGCUAAGAGAUUCAAAAUUUAAAGCAUUUACCAUCCUUUCUGAAUGACACUUUAACUUAUAAUCUGAAUAGAAAAUAGUGGGAAGGAGUUCCUGUUGUGGUUCAGUGGUUAACGAAACCAACUAGGAACCAUGAGGUUGUGGGUUCAACCCCUGGCCUCACUCAGUGGGUUAAGGAUCUGGCAUUGCUGUGAGCUGUGGUGUAGGCCACAGAUGAAGCUUAGAUCCCACGUUGCUGUGGCUCUGGUGUAGCCCUGCGGUUACAGCUCCGAUCAGACCCCUAGCCUGGGAACUUCCAUAUGCUGUGGGUGCGGCCCUAGAAAAGACAAAAAGACAAAAGAAAAGAAAACAGUGGGAAAAACACUUAAAUUGUUUAUGUAACCAAAUAAUAUCAUAUACAACCAAGACAAUUUGAUUUUUAAAUUUUUAAAGGUUUCAUAAUUAAGAAACCAUGAUUAAAAUUGGAAUAAACGUUUAAAGCAGUUGAUUAGUUGUCAGUCUCUUCUCUAUACCCUGCCUUUGGAACUAUAUAAUUUUAUUCAACUGUUUAUAGAGAGAUUCCUUUCAUCUCAGGAGAAUAUAAUCACAUAAUCGGAUACAAUGCAAUUGUUCCCAUUUAAUUGUGAAUCAUGGCUACACUUGCAAAUUAGUCUGUUAUCACAGCAGAUCUAUCAAUUUGGUGGGGAAUGCAUUUGCCAGCUAGAAUGAAAAAAGUUAAUAAACAUUAAUAAGCAUCUUAAAUCAAUCAUUCCUUUACUCUUGAUGUGGUGGUGGAUAUUGAGAUUAAUAAAUCAGUCAACACAAAUGAAGUGAUGAGGAAGGGAGGCACAGGGAGGCCUCUUGAUGCCCUGUGUAGUUAAGCAGGAUGCUUAAAAACAAAUUGGAAGAUAAGGAUGAGGCACUAAACCUUCAGUGAAAUGACUUGUAAAUUAAACAAAGUAAAUCCAGAUAGUCAUCCAUGUCUGGUCUCUUAUGUACCACUGUUGAUAAAAGCUGGAGGAGAAAACAAAAUGCUCAGUCAGGAUAAAUGAGGUCUGUUGGCAGCAUCAUAUAGGGAUUAAGAGCAUGGGCUUCAGAGUGAGACUGCUCCAUGUUAAAUCCAGGUCCCAUAACUUUUUUUUAUUAGUAUUAUUUUUAUUUUUUCCAUUAUAGUUGGUUUACAGUGUUCUGCCAAUUUCUACUGAACAGCAAAGGGACCCAGUCAUUCUUUUUCUCACAUUAUCCUCCAUCAUGUUCCAUUACAAGUGACUAGAUAUAGUUCCCUGUGCUAUACAGUAGGAUUUCAUUGCUUAUCCACUCCAAAGGCAAUAGUUUGCAUCUUUUAACCCCAGACUCCUAGUC